UUAAAUUGAAGAGUUUGAUCAUGGCUCAGAUUGAACGCUGGCGGCAGGCCUAACACAUGCAAGUCGAACGGUAACAGGAAGAAGCUUGCUUCUUUGCUGACGAGUGGCGGACGGGUGAGUAAUGUCUGGGAAACUGCCUGAUGGAGGGGGAUAACUACUGGAAACGGUAGCUAAUACCGCAUAACGUCGCAAGACCAAAGAGGGGGACCUUCGGGCCUCUUGCCAUCGGAUGUGCCCAGAUGGGAUUAGCUAGUAGGUGGGGUAACGGCUCACCUAGGCGACGAUCCCUAGCUG
rnacentral:rRNA from 1 species